UACGAGAGGCGCAAACGUUAUCCGGAAUUACUGGGCGUAAAGGGCUCGUAGGCGGCCAACUAAGUCAGACGUGAAAUCCCUCGGCUUAACCGGGGAACUGCGUCUGAUACUGGAUGGCUUGAGUUCGGGAGAGGGAUGCGGAAUUCCAGGUGUAGCGGUGAAAUGCGUAGAUAUCUGGAGGAACACCGGUGGCGAAGGCGGCAUCCUGGACCGAUACUGACGCUGAGGAGCGAAAGCCAGGGGAGCAAACGGG
rnacentral:rRNA from 1 species